rnacentral:rRNA from 1 species
GGGUUGUGAGGUUAAGCGACUAAGCGUACACGGUGGAUGCCCCGCAGUCAGAGGCGAUGAAGGGCGUGCUAAUCUGCGAUAAGCGCCGGUAAGGUGAUAUGAACCGUUAUAACCGGCGAUACCCGAAUGGGGAAACCCAGUGUGAUUCGUCACACUAUCAUUAACUGAAUCCAUAGGUUAAUGAGGCGAACCGGGGGAACUGAAACAUCUAAGUACCCCGAGGAAAAGAAAUCAACCGAGAUUCCCCCAGUAGCGGCGAGCGAACGGGGAGGAGCCCAGAGCCUGAAUCAGCAUGUGUGUUAGUGGAAGCGUCUGGAAAGGCGCGCGAUACAGGGUGACAGCCCCGUACACAAAAGCGCAUGUGCUGUGAGCUCGAUGAGUAGGGCGGGACACGUGGUAUCCUGUCUGAAUAUGGGGGGACCAUCCUCCAAGGCUAAAUACUCCUGACUGACCGAUAGUGAACCAGUACCGUGAGGGAAAGGCGAAAAGAACCCCGGCGAGGGGAGUGAAAAAGAACCUGAAACCGUGUACGUACAAGCAGUGGGAGCACAGGUUUACCUGUGUGACUGCGUACCUUUUGUAUAAUGGGUCAGCGACUUAUAUUCUGUAGCAAGGUUAACCGAAUAGGGGAGCCGGAGGGAAACCGAGUCUUAAUUGGGCGUUAAGUUGCAGGGUAUAGACCCGAAACCCGGUGAUCUAGCCAUGGGCAGGUUGAAGGUUGGGUAACACUAACUGGAGGACCGAACCGACUAAUGUUGAAAAAUUAGCGGAUGACCUGUGGCUGGGGGUGAAAGGCCAAUCAAACCGGGAGAUAGCUGGUUCUCCCCGAAAGCUAUUUAGGUAGCGCCUCGUGAAUUCAUCUCCGGGGGUAGAGCACUGUUUCGGCUAGGGGGCCAUCCCGGCUUACCAACCCGAUGCAAACUGCGAAUACCGGAGAAUGUUAUCACGGGAGACACACGGCGGGUGCUAACGUCCGUCGUGAAGAGGGAAACAACCCAGACCGCCAGCUAAGGUCCCAAAGUCAUGGUUAAGUGGGAAACGAUGUGGGAAGGCCCAGACAGCCGGAUGUUGGCUUAGAAGCAGCCAUCAUUUAAAGAAAGCGUAAUAGCUCACUGGUCGAGUCGGCCUGCGCGGAAGAUGUAACGGGGCUAAACCAUGCACCGAAGCUGCGGCAGCGACACUGUGUGUUGUUGGGUAGGGGAGCGUUCUGUAAGCCUGUGAAGGUGUGUCGUGAGGCAUGCUGGAGGUAUCAGAAGUGCGAAUGCUGACAUAAGUAACGAUAAAGCGGGUGAAAAGCCCGCUCGCCGGAAGACCAAGGGUUCCUGUCCAACGUUAAUCGGGGCAGGGUGAGUCGACCCCUAAGGCGAGGCCGAAAGGCGUAGUCGAUGGGAAACGGGUUAAUAUUCCCGUACUUGGUGUUACUGCGAAGGGGGGACGGAGAAGGCUAUGUUGGCCGGGCGACGGUUGUCCCGGUUUAAGCGUGUAGGUGUGUGUUCCGUAAAAUCCGGUUCACUUUAACACUGAGGCGUGACGACGAGGCACUACGGUGCUGAAGCAACAAAUGCCCUGCUUCCAGGAAAAGCCUCUAAGCAUCAGGUAACAUCAAAUCGUACCCCAAACCGACACAGGUGGUCAGGUAGAGAAUACCAAGGCGCUUGAGAGAACUCGGGUGAAGGAACUAGGCAAAAUGGUGCCGUAACUUCGGGAGAAGGCACGCUGACACGUAGGUGAAGUGAUUUACUCAUGGAGCUGAAGUCAGUCGAAGAUACCAGCUGGCUGCAACUGUUUAUUAAAAACACAGCACUGUGCAAACACGAAAGUGGACGUAUACGGUGUGACGCCUGCCCGGUGCCGGAAGGUUAAUUGAUGGGGUCAGCGCAAGCGAAGCUCCUGAUCGAAGCCCCGGUAAACGGCGGCCGUAACUAUAACGGUCCUAAGGUAGCGAAAUUCCUUGUCGGGUAAGUUCCGACCUGCACGAAUGGCGUAAUGAUGGCGAGGCUGUCUCCACCCGAGACUCAGUGAAAUUGAACUCGCUGUGAAGAUGCAGUGUACCCGCGGCAAGACGGAAAGACCCCGUGAACCUUUACUAUAGCUUGACACUGAACAUUGAGCCUUGAUGUGUAGGAUAGGUGGGAGGCUUUGAAGUGUGGACGCCAGUCUGCAUGGAGCCGACCUUGAAAUACCACCCUUUAAUGUUUGAUGUUCUAACGUGGACCCGUUACCCGGGUUGCGGACAGUGUCUGGUGGGUAGUUUGACUGGGGCGGUCUCCUCCUAAAGAGUAACGGAGGAGCACGAAGGUUGGCUAAUCCUGGUCGGACAUCAGGAGGUUAGUGCAAUGGCAUAAGCCAGCUUGACUGCGAGCGUGACGGCGCGAGCAGGUGCGAAAGCAGGUCAUAGUGAUCCGGUGGUUCUGAAUGGAAGGGCCAUCGCUCAACGGAUAAAAGGUACUCCGGGGAUAACAGGCUGAUACCGCCCAAGAGUUCAUAUCGACGGCGGUGUUUGGCACCUCGAUGUCGGCUCAUCACAUCCUGGGGCUGAAGUAGGUCCCAAGGGUAUGGCUGUUCGCCAUUUAAAGUGGUACGCGAGCUGGGUUUAGAACGUCGUGAGACAGUUCGGUCCCUAUCUGCCGUGGGCGCUGGAGAACUGAGGGGGGCUGCUCCUAGUACGAGAGGACCGGAGUGGACGCAUCACUGGUGUUCGGGUUGUCAUGCCAAUGGCACUGCCCGGUAGCUAAAUGCGGAAGAGAUAAGUGCUGAAAGCAUCUAAGCACGAAACUUGCCCCGAGAUGAGUUCUCCCUGAGACUUAGAGUCUCCUGAAGGAACGUUGAAGACGACGACGUUGAUAGGCCGGGUGUGUAAGCGCAGCGAUGCGUUGAGCUAACCGGUACUAAUGAACCGUGAGGCUUAACCUUACAACGCCGAAG